ACAUCACUCAUCCUUCUAGCUAGCAGGCACACGGACAGUUCAUCAGUGGGCAUGGCAGUUAUUGAGUUUUUGAGUCAUGUUUGCCUCAGAUGCCUCUGGCCAGUUCCACCAAGCAAACACUCACUGUCACUGCCUUUGACUGAUAAACAGGUGACGACUCACUGAAUGGGAGCUAGUGCUAGACAGAGUCAGACCUUAGGAUACAACAGGAAAAGAGCAGAGCAGCAGUGCACCGAUGGCCCACCCAACCCCUCAACAGGUUUGCUGUGAGGUUCGAGAAGAAGUGAGGAGGAGAAAGUGAACUGUAUUAGAUGCCAUGAUGGAGGACGACCAGCCCAAGUCGAAGCCGCCUACACCUUCUCCCUUGCUGGACCUAGAACACAGUCCUGGAGCCUCGUCAGUAACGAACCAUGCAGAGGUAUAGUAUAUCUAGUGCUUUAGCCAAAAUGUUAAUAGAUAGCCUUUACAUAAUUUAAUGAUGCUGAGUCGCUGAAGCUAUGAGAAUUGGCUGACCGAAAGCUUCGGCAUAAUAGUAGACAAUUCCAAACAUAUUGAUCUAGAAUCAGUUUUGAGGGCAUUAGAUUAAAUGUGUUAUUGGCAGUGUACUGUGCACUCUUAUUUGGCACUAUGCAUUUAUGGGGUCAAAUAUUUACUUGAAAACAAAAGUAAAAUCAUCAUUGCUGACUUUUUGUUAGGGCAUUUGAAACACCUUGAUGUACCCUACAAGGAGAUUUGCUCAUGAUUUUUGCCAGCUUCUUUUUCCACAGAGUGUGGUAUUUCUGUAAGUUGGAUCAAAAGCCUUGUUCAUGGCACUGACUGUUCACAUUGUGCCACAACAUUGUGCCACAACAUCAUUGUGCCACAACAUCUACUCUUUAUGAUAAGCAUGAAAACUAUUAUUUACUGGUGAUGGGUUCUGACUUCUAAACUUGAAGUAUGAAAUGUCCUUGUUCAUGGUACUGAGGGAGAGAGGGGAGUGCAGAGCAUGUUAUUGUUAGACAUCAGGUAUCCUAUGGAAAGGAGAAGGGCCACAGUCUGGUUUCAGUUGUUGGGUUUUAAUUUGAAAUACUUGCUACACCAGAAGUUAAUGGUUAUCUGUAGGAGGAAUGUAUAUGGUGGGGUCAAUUAAGGUUGGAUAUGAGCCAGGGACUUGGAAUGUUACUAAGUAAGAGAAAGGCAAUCAUAUGAUUGUGGUCACUGAUAGGGUGGAUUAGUGAGGAAUGGGGGCCGAGGCCAGGUCACAUUAAGGGAGAAGGAACAGUUUAUUACCCACAUCACUUAACUUCCUGCCUAGCAACAGAGAUGUAUUGGCUGUCCAGAUGUGUACGGAGGAGACUCCGCAUAGGAGGAAGGUUUAAAUACCAGUACUUGUGUAAAUGUGUUUUUGUCAUAGGUUGCUGUGUAACGCAGUGGGUGAAUAAACCUGGUUUGAGCUUUGCUAGUCGUCCGUGAGUUUUUACUCCGUUUAUUUAGAACCUAACACUGGGAACACAGUAGUGUCUUGUUAGUGUGACUAACCUCUCUGUCAACAAUGAGAACCACUUAACAUGCUGUAGGUGUGACAAAGAAAUGGAGGCAAAAAAGCCAGUAGCAUUGGCUCCAGUACCAUUCUUAUCAACUUUCAAGAGUUAGGCUAGGCUACCCAAAACAACUUCCUGACCACAAUCACUCUCUUGAAAGAUUGCAAUGAUUUCAACUCAAGAAGUUAAAGCUACAAUAUGCAACUUUUUGGGCGACCUGUCCAAAUUCACAUAGAAAUGUGAAUUAUAGAUCAAUUAUUCUCAUUGAAAGCAAGAUCUGUUCUCUGUGCACUAUUUCUAUGCUUCCGUUAAGUUUAGUUUUUGCGUCCUUUUACUUUUGGUUUUGUACACCAGCUGAAAAUAUAAUCUUUUUGGUUAUUGAAAAUAUAUUUAACAGUGCUUUGUUUGAAUGGUACAUUGAUUCUCUACACUAUACAUUGCUUGUUUUGUUACAUAAACUAUUUGAAUUGAAGUAACCAGAAAAUGGCGGAGCGAUUUCUGCAUAUUGCACCUUAUAACUAUGGUUAGAGUACGAUAGUAAUCUUUUUUGAAAUAAUAUAAAAAUAUCCAGUAGUGUUACUUUUUCAGAAGCUUGUAUUGAAAUGG
rnacentral:lncRNA from 1 species